UACGUAGGGGGCAAGCGUUGUCCGGAUUUAUUGGGCGUAAAGGGCGUGUAGGCGGUCGGCCAAGUCUGAUGUGAAAGCCCGAGGCUCAGCCUCGGAAGUGCGUCGGAAACUAGUCGGCUGGAGCGCGAUAGAGGAGGGUGGAAUUCCUGGUGUAGCGGUGAAAUGCGUAGAUAUCAGGAGGAACACCGGCGGCGAAGGCGGCCCUCUGGAUCGUUGCUGACGCUGAUACGCGAAAGCGUGGGGAGCAAACAGG
rnacentral:rRNA from 1 species